rnacentral:lncRNA from 1 species
UACGUUGUCCAAUAUUGCUACUAAGCUAUCUGCUCAAGUAAGCAACAUACAGAGCCUCAACAUAAUACUCACUCGAGAUCCAACAUAUAUAGAUGUGGGAUGGGUGUUGUUCGUGCCCAUGGAGAAGAAUGGAAUCCCUGCACCAAAGAAAGGUGAGUGGUGUGUAUAUAAUUUCUCAAGCAAAACUAUGUUUUUACUUUGAUAUAUCCCCAAUAAAACUAUAUUAGAAUUAAUGAAAUUAAUAAUGAUCCUCAUUUUUUAUUGUAAAUUAAGUUCAUCAGUAAAAACCACUACAAGCCAAAAUAUUAUUUACUUCAUCAGUUUCAUUUCAUGUUAUCUUUUGAAUACACGAACCAAUAUUUAUGGAUCCAAAUUUGAGAAAGAAGGUGCAGACUAGACUGCUGAGAAAAUUUGAUUUAAUAAUUGGCACCAUUUGAAUAAAACCUGAAUUCAGCAAAAGACAAAAGUCAUAUAUGGGAAUAAUAUUAAAUUGAGAUUGAUAGUAUAUGUUUUAAUUUUCCUUGCCUUGUUUUUCCCCUUCAUUAACAGAUCACAAGUGGACGAUAAUUAUUGGCGUAUUAGCUGCAGCAACACUAUUUUCAAUGUGCACAUUGGCCAUUAUCAUUCUCAGACAAAGUAGAUCCGAAAAAGACAUCGAGGAAGACCCAAAAGCUGUAUCAAAAAGUUUGACUGCUCAUAAAUCGUUUUCCUUGCAGAAUCAAUACCUGCAAAAAGAAGGGCUGGAAGGUCAGAUGUACUUAAUUAAUUCAAGUCCCAUAAUUGUAGAUAAUAUAAGGCUUUACAUAUAUUUUUUCACUUCCAACUAUAAUAUGUGUGAGAGAGAUCCCUUCCUAAUCUUGCCAAUUGUCUGCCUAAGCACUUUCCCCUUCUCCAUGUGCUCUCUUGGAGUGAUAUCUAAGAUUUGGUUUUGAUAUUGAGUUCCUAGCUUAUGUUAUGUAACCGAAACCAUGAUCAUUGGUUUCUUUAAGGCAAAAUCCUUGAAGCUUUGAUGUUGUGGUUUAAAGAGAGAGAAAGGGAGAUGAAUGUACAGUUGACUCACUCAAAUUAAAUGUACAUGUACAGAUAUCACAGGUUUUGAGUCAGAAAGACCAGUAGUAUAUAGCCUUGAGGAGAUAGCAGAGGCUACAAGUAACUUUGAUGAAACUAGAAAAAUUGGAGAGGGUGGAUAUGGGAGUGUAUAUUUUGGGGUACUAGGAGAGAAGGUACGGAAGGUCUCCUUCUAGUUUUCUAUUUGUUUCUCCGAACUAUUUUAAGUUUAAAGUCACAACUGCUGCUGCAUUCAGGAGAUUGCGGUAAAGAAGAUGAGAUCUAACAAGUGCAAGGAAUUUUUAGCAGAGCUCAAGGUCUUAUGCAAGAUACACCACAUAAACGUGGUAAGCAAUUAUCUUUACAAACAAAAAUAUUAUUUAGGAGUUAAAUGCUUCUUCUUUUUCUCCUCCUUUUAUUUUCAUAAGGAUGCUUUUUACUGAUCAAGCUAGCUAGUUUAUUCUUUAGGUGGAGCUGUUGGGGUACGCCAGCGGAGACGACCACCUCUAUUUAGUGUAUGAAUAUAUUUCAAAUGGAUCUCUUGGUGAUCAUCUUCAUGACCCUUUAUUAAAAGGUAUUCAGACCACAGGGGCAAAAUUCCUUGAGUCAGCGAGAUGCCUUUAUAUGGUUAGAAAAAGCAGCUCAGAAGAUGUGAUUAAUCAGCACAAUAACACAAACACACACAAGAUAAUGUGGAUACCAUAAGAAAUAACACAAGUAAAUAUGUUGUUUUAAAUAUUUGAAGAUACAGAAAAAGAUUAAGUAUUCUCCUUUACAUGCAAGAUUACUGUUUGGAGAAGUGUAGAUAAAAUAAAUUAGCAGAUAUAACAUUGAAGAGAAAGCUAUCACCUUUAUUCUUUGCCGGGAACUGGUCAACGCUAAAUCUAUGGCCCCUUGCACGCCUUGAACCUCACCACCCCACUAGGGAUGCCAACCAGACUGACCACCUAACUGGUGCCAAGUUUUCUCCUUUUAAAACCAUGUGUUCAUAGUUAGACUUCUAAUUAAGCUUGGAUUAGUGAGUGAAGCUACUUACAGAAAAAAUUUAUUCAAAUAACCACUGGACUUGCAAGUUAAUAAAAUCCUAGCUUCAAAUAUUCUUAAGUUCAAAAAUACUGAAGCAAAAUUGUAGAAUCGUAUAACUUGUAAGAGCAUAUGCAUCAGAAUUACAAGUUUAUACAUUUCUAAAGUGUUAAUAAGAAAAAUAGAUGUCUUUUUAUUUCGAUGGCAUGAAAAGAAGACGAGCUAAAUUUAGCAGCAGGAGAAAGGCCUCUUACAUGACCAACCAACUAUUGAUCAGGUCAUCAACCUCUCUCUUGGACUGCAAGAACACAGAUUGCAGUGGAUACAGCCAAGGGUAUUGAGUACAUUCAUGAUCACACAAAAUCCCGGUACGUACAUCGUGACAUAAAGACAAGUAACAUCCUACUUGAUGAAGGGCUCAGAGCAAAGGUACCUACAUCAAAACUCAUUUUUUGUCAUGAUUAUUUGUUCUUUCUGUGUACUUAAUAUCCUCAAAUUUUUAUUCCGUAAAGAAGAUAACUGCCAACUAAUCUUCUGCUUAUCUAUGUUGAUAUUUGAACUCGUCAGUUUACUAAAAAGAAUAGCAAUUUAUUGCAGUUUUUACUUUUAUUUCUCGAAAUCAUGAGACAGCAUUUUGAAAAUGAAAAACAUAUAUUUUGCCAAUUAAACACUAUUUUCUACCAUCAUUCAUCAAAGACUAAGUUCAUUCGAGUGAGGAGGAGUUGAGUUCAGAGUAUCAGAGAUUAAAUUCAAUGCGCAGUACCUCAAAUCCAUUUCUAUAGGUCGCAGACUUUGGAUUGGCAAAGCUUGUUGGAAGGACCAAUGAAGAUGAUUUCAUAGCAACUCGCUUGGUUGGAACACCCGGAUACCUUCCUCCUGAGUAAAAUUUCAAACUUUAUCAUAUUAACCAUCACUCUUAAGAGCGGAUGCUGGGAUGGCUCUUCAGUCUUCAAUGUCCUAUUAUCUAUUUUUCUAAUGUAUAACAUUCUUUAUCCCAUGUUCCCUGCUCCCUUUUUUUUCUGAAACAGGUGUGUGAAAGAGCUUCAGGUGACCACUAAAACUGAUGUUUUUGCAUUUGGAGUAGUUCUAGCAGAGCUCAUAACUGGUCAGCGUGCACUCAUUCGUGACAACCUGGAGCCCACCAAGAUGAAAUCACUCAUCACAAUAGUAAGUUGACUAUUUUAAUUGGAAAAGGAACUUGAGUGACAUUAGGUAAACACUAUAAUGGUAUAGAAAAGAGAUAAUGCAUACAGGAUCUGCUUUCAUGGUCACUGCGUUAAAGAUAAUGCAUCUCCUUCAGUACUCAUCAAACUACUAAGCAUUCAAUUUCAAGAUUAAAAGAAAAACUUAUCAACCAAAAAAAGAAAAAAGAAAACAGACAAAAGAGAAGAUGCAGAACACAUUUUUUUGUCAAUAAUACGUGAAAAUUAAUAUGCAUGACAUGUAAUCAAUAAAAAUAAAGAUGAUGCGUUAUUGUCAUUGUCAUCUAACCCAAAUAAUCUUUACAAUGAACAACCUAAUCUUACAGCACUUUAUGCUCAGGUUAAUAAAGUAUUCCAAGACGAAGAUCCAGAGAAAGCUUUGGAAUUUAUCUUAGAUGGUAGUCUCAAAGGAAGCUAUCCUAUGGAGGAUGUGUACACGGUUAGUGUUACUGAGUAUAUAUCUGUAUGCUCCACAAGUCUUCUAUCCCUUAUUUGUCUAAAUGACUAACACGAACUAACAAGGUUUCAUUAUCCAGUUAACAGGAAUGAUGACUAACCUAAAAUCAACCAGGUGUAAGUUGUCUCAUAGUGAGGGAUGGACAUAACAUUGAAUAAUUAUAACUUCUGCAAACUAAUUACACCAUACAUUAAUAAUGACUCAUUCUAACAAUGGCAUCAUAUCAAUAUAUAUCCACUAACACAUAACACGACCUGUGAUAUUCAUCCGCAAAUAUAGUGUGCCCUGACGUGUGGAUUGUGCUUUUGUAACCAUUCAUAAUAUAAUCAGGUGAGCGUAUGUUACUUGUGAGAUUAUGAUAUCUUCUACUUAUUGCAGAACCUACACAUAAAUGCAUGAAUGAGUCAUAUAAUCUUAUUAUGUAAAUAAAAUAAAAAAAGUCAAUGAUCUUAGGCACCUGAUUAUUUGCAUUAAAAUGAAGUGUUUAAGGAAAGAAAAAUUAGAGGAUGGCAUGGGUGAGUUUGUAUAACAACAUAAAAGAGUUUCAUUGAGUUGGAUUGCUGAAACAAUUUGAAUUGGAGCCCGUUACCCAUUGUAUUGCAUGAGUGCAAUGUGCAGAACAAUCUGUAUAUGAAGCUGACAUGUUUCUUGUACAAUCUGUAAAUGAUGCUCUCCAUUUUUCAAAUGAUGCUUUACAGAUGGCAGAAAUUGCUUACUGGUGUCUGAGUGAAGAUCCAAUUAAUAGACCAGAGAUGGGGGAGAUUGUCGUGGCACUAUCUCAAGCUAAGGUUUCC